AACCAACAGGGAUUGCCCCAGUAACGGCGAGUGAAGCGGCAACAGCUCAAAUUUGAAAUCUGGCCCCCAGGGUCCGAGUUGUAAUUUGUAGAGGAUGCUUUUGGUGAGGUGCCGCCCGAGUUCCCUGGAACGGGACGCCGCAGAGGGUGAGAGCCCCGUCUGGCUGGCCACCGAGCCUCUGUAAAGCUCCUUCGACGAGUCGAGUAGUUUGGGAAUGCUGCUCAAAAUGGGAGGUAUAUGUCUUCUAAAGCUAAAUAUUGGCCAGAGACCGAUAGCGCACAAGUAGAGUGAUCGAAAGAUGAAAAGCACCUUGAAAAGAGGGUUAAACAGUACGUGAAAUUGUUGAAAGGGAAGCGCUUGUGACCAGACUUGGGCGCGGCGGAUCAUCCGGGGUUCUCCCCGGUGCACUUCGCCGCGUCCAGGCCAGCAUCAGUUCGGCGCGGGGGAAAAAGGCUUCGGGAACGUGGCUCCCCCGGGAGUGUUAUAGCCCGUUGCACAAUACCCUGCGCUGGACUGAGGACCGCGCAUCUCCAAGGAUGCUGGCGUAAUG
rnacentral:rRNA from 1 species